rnacentral:lncRNA from 1 species
CGCAGGUCACAAAUGAGUUACACACAUGCAUCACAUACACAAAGGGGCCAUACUGAUCACAAGAUACAUACAUCCUGCAAAAUAGAGUUAAGCGUCCUAACGUUCCAAACUUCGGAGGCCGAAAACUCCAUCUUCCAAGCUGAAUUUGGGAAAUCUAAUUUUGCUAAAAAUAGCAAAGCAGUUGAAUUUCAUCUGUAACUUUUUCUGUAGAUCAAUUUUCAUAUAAAAU